CAACUGAGCGAGAACGACUUCAACUUCACAAGCAAGUGUCAACGUUGAAUGACAAAAUGCUAGAGAAAGAGGCAGAGAUGAUGAAAGGGCUCGAGCGGAACUCACAGCUGGAGAAGAUGAGGGGGCAGGAGUGGGCAUCCAUGGGGAAGUUGUGCAGCUGAAGCUGGCACUCAGCGUUGAUGAACACACUAGACAGAGGCCCUGGGACAGCUCUGUUUGAGAACUACAUCACUUUGGGAGACAUGGCGAGUCAAACAGGAUAGGAAUGAGAGGGAACUUCAUGUCCGUGAUUGCUUGGAUUUCAUCUUCUGCUGAAUAUGUACCAUUGAAUCAUUUAUCAUCCUUUUUAACAUCAAAAAGGAGACAGCAAACUAAAAGGUAGUGAAUUUAAAAACCCUGCGUUAACUUCCACAGAGUGCUUUAUUUCUCAGCUAUAUUUAUGGAGCACCUCAAACC